rnacentral:rRNA from 1 species
CCUACGGGUGGCAGCAGUCGAGAAUCAUUCACAAUGGGGGAAACCCUGAUGCUGCGACGCCGCGUGGGGGAAUGAAGGUCUUCGGAUUGUAAACCCCUGUCAUGUGGGAGCAAAUUAAAAAGAUAGUACCACAAGAGGAAGAGACGGCUAACUCUGUGCCAGGAGCCGCGGUAAUACAGAGGUCUCAAGCGUUGUUCGGAAUCACUGGGCGUAAAGGGUGCGUAGGCUGUUUUGUAAGUCGGGUGUGAAAGGCGCGGGCUCAACCCGCGGACGGCGGAUGAUACUGGGAGACUAGAGUAAUGGAGGGGGAACCGGAAUUCUUGGUGUAGCAGUGAAAUGCGUAGAUAUCGAGAGGAACACUCGUGGCGAAGGCGGGUUCCUGGACAGUAACUGACGCUGAGGCACGAAGGCCAGGGGAGCGAAAGGGAUUAGAUACCUCUGUAGUC